CGCUGGCGGCGUGCUUAACACAUGCAAGUCGAACGGAAAGGCCCUGCUUUUGUGGGGUGCUCGAGUGGCGAACGGGUGAGUAACACGUGAGUAACCUGCCCUUGACUUUGGGAUAACUUCAGGAAACUGGGGCUAAUACCGGAUAGGAGCUCCUGCUGCAUGGUGGGGGUUGGAAAGUUUCGGCGGUUGGGGAUGGACUCGCGGCUUAUCAGCUUGUUGGUGGGGUAGUGGCUUACCAAGGCUUUGACGGGUAGCCGGCCUGAGAGGGCGACCGGCCACAUUGGGACUGAGAUACGGCCCAGACUCCUACGGGAGGCAGCAGUGGGGAAUAUUGCACAAUGGGCGGAAGCCUGAUGCAGCAACGCCGCGUGCGGGAUGACGGCCUUCGGGUUGUAAACCGCUUUCGCCUGUGACGAAGCGUGAGUGACGGUAAUGGGUAAAGAAGCACCGGCUAACUACGUGCCAGCAGCCGCGGUGAUACGUAGGGUGCGAGCGUUGUCCGGAUUUAUUGGGCGUAAAGGGCUCGUAGGUGGUUGAUCGCGUCGGAAGUGUAAUCUUGGGGCUUAACCCUGAGCGUGCUUUCGAUACGGGUUGACUUGAGGAAGGUAGGGGAGAAUGGAAUUCCUGGUGGAGCGGUGGAAUGCGCAGAUAUCAGGAGGAACACCAGUGGCGAAGGCGGUUCUCUGGGCCUUUCCUGACGCUGAGGAGCGAAAGCGUGGGGAGCGAACAGGCUUAGAUACCCUGGUAGUCCACGCUGUAAACGGUGGGUACUAGGUGUGGGGUCCAUUCCACGGGUUCCGUGCCGUAGCUAACGCUUUAAGUACCCCGCCUGGGGAGUACGGCCGCAAGGCUAAAACUCAAAGGAAUUGACGGGGCCCCGCACAAGCGGCGGAGCAUGCGGAUUAAUUCGAUGCAACGCGUAGAACCUUACCUGGGUUUGACAUGGAUCGGGAGUGCUCAGAGAUGGGUGUGCCUCUUUUGGGGUCGGUUCACAGGUGGUGCAUGGCUGUCGUCAGCUCGUGUCGUGAGAUGUUGGGUUAAGUCCCGCAACGAGCGCAACCCUUGUUCACUGUUGCCAGCACGUUAUGGUGGGGACUCAGUGGAGACCGCCGGGGUCAACUCGGAGGAAGGUGGGGAUGACGUCAAGUCAUCAUGCCCCUUAUGUCCAGGGCUUCACGCAUGCUACAAUGGCUGGUACAGAGAGUGGCGAGCCUGUGAGGGUGAGCGAAUCUCGGAAAGCCGGUCUCAGUUCGGAUUGGGGUCUGCAACUCGACCUCAUGAAGUCGGAGUCGCUAGUAAUCGCAGAUCAGCAACGCUGCGGUGAAUACGUUCCCGGGGCUUGUACACACCGCCCGUCAAGUCAUGAAAGUUGGUAACACCCGAAGCCGGUGGCCUAACCGUUGUGGGGGAGCCGUCGAAGGUGGGACUGGUGAUA
rnacentral:rRNA from 1 species